GGGGGGGGGGGGGGGGGGGGGGGGGGGGGGGGGGGGGGGCGGGGGGGCGCCUGCCGGUGGGGUGGGUGGGGGUGGGUGGCGAACGGGUGAGUAACACGUGAGUAACCUGCCCCCUUCUGCUGGAUAACCGCAUGAAAGUGUGGCUAAUACGGGAUAGUCGGGGGCUGUCGCAUGAUGGGUCUGGGAAAGAUAUUGUUUCGGUGGGGGCUGGGCUCGCGGCCUAUCAGCUUGUUGGUGGGGUGAUGGCCUACCAAGGCGGUGACGGGUAGCCGGCCUGAGAGGGUGGACGGUCACACUGGGACUGAGACACGGCCCAGACUCCUACGGGAGGCAGCAGUGGGGAAUAUUGCACAAUGGGCGCAAGCCUGAUGCAGCGACGCCGCGUGAGGGAUGGAGGCCUUCGGGUUGUGAACCUCUUUCGCCAGUGAAGCAGGCCUGCCUCGUUUGUGGGUGGGUUGACGGUAGCUGGAGAAGAAGCGCCGGCUAACUACGUG
rnacentral:rRNA from 1 species